GGGCCCUUAGCUCAGUUGGCUAGAGCAACGGACUUUUAAUCCGUGGGUCGUGGGUUCGAGCCCCACAGGGCCCACCC
rnacentral:tRNA from 1 species